rnacentral:rRNA from 1 species
AUUGAACGCUGGCGGCAUGCCUUACACAUGCAAGUCGAACGGUAACAGGUCUUCGGAUGCUGACGAGUGGCGAACGGGUGAGUAAUACAUCGGAACGUGCCUAGUAGUGGGGGAUAACUACUCGAAAGAGUGGCUAAUACCGCAUGAGAUCUACGGAUGAAAGCAGGGGAUCGCAAGACCUUGUGCUACUAGAGCGGCCGAUGGCAGAUUAGGUAGUUGGUGGGAUAAAAGCCUACCAAGCCGACGAUCUGUAGCUGGUCUGAGAGGACGAUCAGCGACACUGGGACGGAGACACGGCCCAGACUGCUACGGGAGGCAGAAGAGGGGGAUGUGGGACAAUGGGCGAAAGCCUGAUCCAGCAAUGCCGCGUGAAGGAUGAAGGCCUUCGGGUUGUAAACUUCUUUUGUACGGAACGAAAAGCCCCGGGUUAAUACCCUGGGGUCAUGACGGUACCGUAAGAAUAAGCACCGGCUAACUACGUGCCAGCCGCCGCCGUAA